GACGAACCGUGCGAACGUUAUUCGGAAUCAUUGGGCUUAAAGGGUGCGUAGGCGGUUUGUCGCGUCGGGAAGUGAAAUCCACUGGCUUAACUGGUGGCUUGCUUUCGAUACGGGCAGACUGGAGGUAUGCAGGGGAGAACGGAAAUUCCUGGUGUAGCGGUGAAAUGCGCAGAUAUCAGGAGGAACACCGGUGGCGAAGGCGGUUCUCUGGGCGAUGGAUCCUGACGCUGGAGGAGCGAAAGUGUGGGGAGCGAACAGG
rnacentral:rRNA from 1 species